CUCAGUACGGCGAGUGAAGCGGCAACAGCUCAAAUUUGAAAUCUGGCCCCUUCGGGUCCGAGUUGUAAUUUGUAGAGGAUGUUUCGGGUGCGGCGCCGAUCUAAGUCCCUUGGAACAGGGCGUCACAGAGGGUGAGAAUCCCGUACGUGAUUGGCGACCAAUCCCAUGUGAAACCCCUUCGACGAGUCGAGUUGUUUGGGAAUGCAGCUCAAAAUGGGUGGUAAAUUUCAUCUAAAGCUAAAUACCGGCCAGAGACCGAUAGCGCACAAGUAGAGUGAUCGAAAGAUGAAAAGCACUUUGGAAAGAGAGUCAAAAAGUACGUGAAAUUGUUGAAAGGGAAGCGCUUGCGACCAGACCUGUCCGCGGGCGAUCAAUCUCCGUUCUCGGGGGUGCACUUGUUCGCGAUCAGGCCAGCAUCGGUUUGGGCGGCGGGAUAAAGGCCUUGGGAACGUAGCUUCCUUCGGGAAGUGUUAUAGCCCUCGGUGCAAUGCCGCCAGCCCGGACCGAGGACCGCGCUUCGGCUAGGAUGCUGGCGUAAUGGUCGUAAGCGACCCGUCUUGAAACACGGACCAAGGAGUCUAACAUCUAUGCGAGUGUUUGGGUGUCAAACCCAUACGCGUAAUGAAAGUGAACGGAGGUGAGAACCCUUAAGGGCGCAUCAUCGACCGAUCCAGAUGUCUUCGGAUGGAUUUGAGUACGAGCAUAGCUGUUGGGACCCGAAAGGUAACUACUAACCCCCUCCCUUUUGGACUGAGCCUAUACUAACAUGAUUUCCAGAUGGUGAACUAUGCCUGAAUAGGGUGAAGCCAGAGGAAACUCUGGUGGAGCUCGCAGCGGUUCUGACGUGCAAAUCGAUCGUCAAAUUUGGGUAUAGGGGCGAAAGACUAAUCGAACC
rnacentral:rRNA from 1 species